rnacentral:rRNA from 1 species
UGUGUCUGCCUUUUUGUCAAUGCCUGAUCCUGCCUGAUCUCGGGAGCUACGUGAGGCCGGGCACGGUUAGUACUUGGAUGGGAAACCGCAGAGAAUACCAGGUGCCACAG